AACGAACGCUGGCGGCAGGCUUAACACAUGCAAGUCGAACGGGUGUAGCAAUACAUCAGUGGCAGACGGGUGAGUAACACGUGGGAACCUUCCUAGGGGUACGGAACAACUCAGGGAAACUUGAGCUAAUACCGUAUACGUCCGUAAGGAGAAAGAUUCAUCGCCCCUAGACGGGCCCGCGUCGGAUUAGGUAGUUGGUGGGGUAACGGCCUACCAAGCCUACGAUCCGUAGCUGAUCUGAGAGGANGAUCAGCCACACUGGGACUGAGACACGGCCCAGACUCCUACGGGAGGCAGCAGUGGGGAAUCUUGGACAAUGGGCGCAAGCCUGAUCCAGCCAUGCCGCGUGAGUGAAGAAGGCCUUAGGGUUGUAAAGCUCUUUUACCAGGGACGAUAAUGACGGUACCUGGAGAAUAA
rnacentral:rRNA from 1 species